rnacentral:rRNA from 1 species
GUGCAGCAGUCGAGAAUUUUUCUCAAUGGGGGAAACCCUGAAGGAGCGACGCCGCGUGGAGGAUGAAGGUCUUCGGAUUGUAAACUCCUGUCAUUUGGGAACAAUGUGCAUUGGUUAACUGCCGAUGCAUUGAUAGUACCAGAAGAGGAAGAGACGGCUAACUCUGUGCCAGCAGCCGCGGUAAUACAGAGGUCUCAAGCGUUGUUCGGAUUCAUUGGGCGUAAAGGGUGCGUAGGUGGCGGGGCAAGUCAGGUGUGAAAUCUCGGGGCUCAACCUCGAAACUGCACUUGAUACUGCCUUGCUUGAGUAUUGGAGAGGAGAUUGGAAUUUACGGUGUAGCAGUGAAAUACGUAGAUAUCGUAAGGAGACCAGUGGCGAAGGCGAAUCUCUGGACAAUUACUGACACUGAGGCACGAAGGCCAGGGGAGCAAACGGGAUUAGAUACCCCGGUAGU